CUUUUUUGGAGAGUUUGAUCCUGGCUCAGGACGAACGCUGGCGGCGUGCCUAAUACAUGCAAGUCGAGCGGAGCUAGGUGAAACUUGUUUCACCUAGCUUAGCGGCGGACGGGUGAGUAACACGUAGGUAACCUGCCCAUAAGACUGGGAUAACUACCGGAAACGGUAGCUAAUACCGGAUAGGUUCUUCUC
rnacentral:rRNA from 1 species